rnacentral:misc_RNA from 1 species
GAUGAAGAACGUAGCGAAAUGCGAUAAGUAAUGUGAAUUGCAGAAUUCGGUGAAUCAUCGAAUCUUUGAACGCACAUUGCGCCCAUUAGUAUUCUAGUGGGCAUGCCUGUUCGAGCGUCAUUAAGUCCACUUAAGCCCUGCUUAGUGUUGGGAGACUGCUCCAGCGGUGCUACCCUGUAGCUACCCUGCAGCUCCUCAAAGACAGCGGCGGAGUUGUGGUAUCCUCUGAGCUUAGUAACUUGUUCUAGCUUUCGAGUACACCACUUCCCCUGCCGUAAAACCCUUAAUUUUUAAUGGUUGACCUCGGAUCAGGUAGGAAUACCCGCUGAACUUAAGCAUAUCAAUAAGCGGAGGA